UUUCAGUUUUUGAUACUGCGUAAAAUGUUUUGACUCUUCGUCUUAUUUGAAAUUUUUUGCGAUUAAUAUUUUUAUUGUUACUAGAUGGUAAAACAUGAAUAGUACUUUAUACGUGACUAAUUUUUUAAAAGUUUUUAUACAAAUUUUUCAAAUAAGAUGAAUGGUUAAAGCGUUGGACACAGAAAUCAAAAAAUGAGGUUAUU
rnacentral:pre_miRNA from 1 species